rnacentral:rRNA from 1 species
GGAAAUUUUUCCGCAAUGGGCGAAAGCCUGACGGAGCAACGCCGCGUGAGGGAUGAAGGCCUCUGGGCUGUAAACCUCUUUUAUCAAGGAAGAAGAUCUGACGGUACUUGAGGAAUAAGCCACGGCUAAUUCCGUGCCAGCAGCCGCGGUAAUACGGGAGUGGCAAGCGUUAUGCGGAAUUAUUGGGCGUAAAGCGUCCGCAGGCGGUCUUGUAAGUCUGUCGUUAAAGCGUGGAGCUUAACUCCAUUUCCGCGGUGGAAACUACAACACUAGAGUGUGGUAGGGGCAAAGGGAAUUCCCGGUGUAGCGGUGAAAUGCGUAUAUAUCGGGAAGAACACCAGUGGCGAAGGCGCUCUGCUGGGCCAUAACUGACGCUCAUGGACGAAAGCCAGGGGACGAAAGGGAUUA